rnacentral:rRNA from 1 species
UCGGGGAACGAUAACGGCGUCGAGCGGCGGACGGGUGAGUAAUGCCUGGGAAAUUGCCCUGAUGUGGGGGAUAACCAUUGGAAACGAUGGCUAAUACCGCAUAAUAGCUUCGGCUCAAAGAGGGGGACCUUCGGGCCUCUCGCGUCAGGAUAUGCCCAGGUGGGAUUAGCUAGUUGGUGAGGUAAUGGCUCACCAAGGCGACGAUCCCUAGCUGGUCUGAGAGGAUGAUCAGCCACACUGGAACUGAGACACGGUCCAGACUCCUACGGGAGGCAGCAGUGGGGAAUAUUGCACAAUGGGCGCAAGCCUGAUGCAGCCAUGCCGCGUGUAUGAAGAAGGCCUUCGGGUUGUAAAGUACUUUCAGCAGUGAGGAAGGCGGAUGCGUUAAUAGCGCAUUCGUUUGACGUUAGCUGCAGAAGAAGCACCGGCUAACUCCGUGCCAGCAGCCGCGGUAAUACGGAGGGUGCGAGCGUUAAUCGGAAUUACUGGGCGUAAAGCGCAUGCAGGUGGUUUGUUAAGUCAGAUGUGAAAGCCCGGGGCUCAACCUCGGAAUAGCAUUUGAAACUGGCAGACUAGAGUACUGUAGAGGGGGGUAGAAUUUCAGGUGUAGCGGUGAAAUGCGUAGAGAUCUGAAGGAAUACCGGUGGCGAAGGCGGCCCCCUGGACAGAUACUUACACUCAUAUUCGUGA